ACGUCCAAGGGCCCUUAUUGCUAACAUGAGGGAUGUACUAAUUGCCAAGUCCUUGGAUUUGUCAUCUUUAAAAAGGCUAUCUGGUCCCAAGUUCCUGUUGUUUAUACAGCGUGGCAAAGACAAGGACUUAAAUCAUGGUCACUAGUUUAGGGAGAUAUGUGAGUGAGUUCCUGGAAUUGUAAUGAAUAGGUAUGAGUUGCUAAAGAGGGGACUGAGAAAUCCCCUCGGGGUGCAUGACUUUGGUGGAGUGAUCCCCCAUGCAUCCAGCGCUGCCGAAUAAUUGCUCACUCGAAUAUUGGUGACUGAUUCUUUAAAUCAAUUUGGUGACCCAGAUGGGACCUCCUCUGCUCGGCUGUGGGACCCAUUGAGCGGGCACUCCCUAGGGUACCCCCGGGGAUUUUCCCGGAGGGGCUCCUCAUCUCAUCUCGAUCACCGCAGGAGCAGACAAGGACUCCAUCUUACGGAGCAAAGUUACUCUGUGCUGUUUUGGCAUCAAUUUGGCGAGCCAGCCAGGAGAACUCUCCACCAGUGCUGGAAUCCAGGGGCCUGGGGACCCUCAGGGCCCCCGACUGCAUCUUCUGUCGGCAAGACUCCCCUACCCCUCAGCUUCUCGCACAGGUGGACAAGGACUUCUGCACAGCAUAAAAGUGACUUGUUAUGGGAUGUGCAGAUGAAACUCUGCAUUGACAACGAAGUACAAGGAAUAAAGUUGGUCGGGUGCCUCCUACCAUAGUCAAGGGCAAGACUGGGUUGGCCUCUGUGUUUGCCACCAAGAAGAAUCUUGAGCUCCGCUGUUGGCUGCAACCCAGUAGGCGUUGAGUGGUGGGAACAUGCGCCAUGCCAGACCUUGA